GUUUUCUUAAAAUCAGCAGAAUGAGAAAGUUGAAGGCAUAAAGCUCCAAAGGAAUGUACUGUAGAAAACACCCAUAAUGUUUAAAACAAUAGACUGAAUCAUUGGGAGUUUCAUACUUUGCUGCAAGAUAAUCCAGUUCUGGAAGAUUGUCUUUUAUUAGAUCUUCUAUGUUUACCUUUGGGAGGCACCUGGAUUGAAAUGGGAGACUGCAAGUUCUAGUCCUGCUACAGGGUCAAAUCCUACUUAGUGACCUUAAGCCUAUCACUCUCUUAGAAGUAAGGACAAGCCACUUCCAAAAUCUUGACAAGAACUCUGCAGGGACCUGUCCUAGGCAGUUGCCAGAAAUCAAGACUGACUUUCCCCACCCCAUCCCAAAAGCACCCUUUCCAUGUUGGGAGAAACAAUUUAAUACCCUGAAGUGCUUAAAUGGCAAACUGAUAUUUUGAAGUAGAAGAAUUAGCAGCUGAUAAUUAGAUCAAUCACGCGACCGUCCACUCAAAAGUGAAAAUCACUCAUGACAUAUAUUGAAUUGGUUUUAUUUAAUGCAUAUUUUACAAUAUGGGGUUUUCCCCUAAAACAAGCACCACCAAGAAAAGACUGGAGUCUGGUUGGCUUCCAUUACAAAAUCCAUGAAAUAUUUCGGACAGGGAAAAAAAAAAUCACUUUUUAAUAUUUUUCCCAUGAAGAAAAAUGGGUCACUUUCCAGUUGCCUCUGUAUAGCUCCCUCCUUUUAAAAAAUGGAAUGUUGUAGUAGUGGAGAAGGGAGAAUAAAAAGCCUGUCUUCUUAAAUUAGAUACUGCAUGAAAGGUUGACCUGAUGGCCCCUCCUCUGGAACACCAAUUAGGAAGUCUGGAAGGAAAACUGCAGUUUCUUCAAUCAGAUAUUCCCUCACCAAGAAAUCUUUGUUCCUUUAAACUGAUGCAGGUUUUAAAACCUAUGCAGGGAAAAGGGCUGUAGGACAACGACUGACUUCAUCUUCCUCUCAAGGACAAGCAGUGAGUGUUUCAGUACACACAGGAACCAUCAAUGGAUACAAGCCAUUCACAAGUAGCUCUGCUCACCCAGAGUGGGGACCCCUACCUAACGAAGCCCCAGGAACUGGGAGAAGAGUGCUGAACCCCAACUGCAGAGCAGGGUAUUUUGGAAACAGUAUCUGGACCUUGGAAGAUGAUAAAAUUUAUUUUUUCUUCCUUUCUUGGGAACAGCGAGGACAGAACCUGUAUCAGGAAGAAAAGGCAAAGCAAUAAUUGGGGGAUCAAUGCUAUCCAAGAAAAAAAUACACAGAACUGAUUAAGAAGCUGAUAUUACUGCAAGCAAAAAAAAAUCUAAUAUUUUAAGGACAAGAUCCUGAGGAGUCUGAGAAAUCACUAAUGGGACUAAUAGGAGAAAUCUGAGGAUGAACUGUGCGUUCUAAAAUCCUGACAAUAAUAAUGCAUGGCCAAAUGGAGAUAUCAUAAUUAAUAUUUUAAUUAAGUUCAAAAGCCGGUAGUUUUUAAUGCAAUGUUACUUCUGGCUUCCUGGUUUAUUUCCUUAUCCAUGGGAAUGGAAUACAUAAACCUUAUUAAACUGAGAUUUGAUUAAAUGUC